UGUAUGUCUGCAUGUCAUUAUGAAUGUGUGUAUGUCUGUCUGUAUGAAUGUAUGUAUGCCAGUAUGAAUGUCUAUCUGUAUGUCAUUAUGAAUGUGUCUGUAUGUCCUUAUGCAUGUGUGUCUGUAUGUGUGUGUCUGUACUAUGUACGCCUGUGUGUCUGUAUAUGUGUGUGUGUCUCAGUAUGUGUGUGUCAGUAUGUAUGCCUAUAUGCGUAUCAGUAUGUGUGUCUGUAUGUAUGUUAGUAUGUGUC